CCUACGGGGGGCUGCAGUCGAGAAUCUUCGGCAAUGGGCGCAAGCCUGACCGAGCGACGCCGCGUGCGGGAUGAAGGCCUUCGGGUUGUAAACCGCUGUCGUAGGGGAGGAAGGCCGGGUGCAGAGCCCGGUUUGACCGAUCCUAGGAGGAAGGGCCGGCUAAUCUCGUGCCAGCAGCCGCGGUAAUACGAGAGGCCCAAACGUUAUUCGGAUUUACUGGGCUUAAAGAGUUCGUAGGCGGCUUGGAAAGUGGGGUGUGAAAGCCCUCGGCUCAACCGAGGAAUUGCGCUCCAAACUACCGAGCUUGAGGAAGCUAGAGGUGAGCAGAACAGAUGGUGGAGCGGUGAAAUGCGUUGAUAUCAUCUGGAAUACCGGAGGCGAAGGCGGCUCACUGGGACUUUUCUGACGCUGAGGAACGAAAGCCAGGGUAGCGAACGGGA
rnacentral:rRNA from 1 species